CAUGUUGGAAACGCGAAGAACAUAGGAGAUAUUGGGUGGUUGUUGUGAUUGAAAGAAAGACCAGAGAGACGAAUGCGAUAGGAAGUCUUGCGAUAGUAGAUCUUGCGUUCUUGAAAUCAAAAGAAGAAGGAAAGAGGUGUGUAAUGGGAGAUGGUGUUCUAUUGAUAUGUAUGGUUUUGUGGUUUUGAAUGGGUGAUUUUUGUUGAUACAUACAUCUAAAGGGCGUCAACUGUUCAUUGGCGUCGCACUGUUCAUUCGAGGCCGAAGUAAAUGACUCUUUUGCCCUUCUUUUUUUCAUAAAAUUACGGGUUGCCACGUUUCGGUAACCUUCUAUAAGUUUCUUCUGGGUGUUUUUAUUUUGAGAUCUAUCUCAAAAACAUAGGAGAAAAACAUGUUGGAAACGCGAAGAACAUAGGAGAUAUUGGGUGGUUGUUGUGAUUGAAAGAAAGACCGGAGAGACGAAGGCGAUAGGAAGUCUUGCGAUAGUAGAUCUUGCGUUCUUGAAAUCAAAAGAAGAAGGAAAGAGGAUUAGAUCUCUAUCGAAGUUGAGCCGAAGAAGAAAACAAAAGAGGACACACCACUUUGAAUCUAAAAAGAGGACAAAGAGGCCAAACGUUGCAAGAUGCCACACAUGCAGAAACAAAAGAAGAAAAAGGAGAUAACAACGUUAACAUAAUUAUAAAUUUUCGGCUUAAGUCUCCAAGUUUUGAUUUAUGAAACUCUAGAAUAUAUUUGGGGGUACACGAUGCCAAAAAUUCCAUAUUCUAAGCAUUAAUAGAGCGUUCUGACUAAUAACAAUGGACUUCACUAAACUUAUGUAUUCAAACAUACACACCAACUAGUAAAAAUUGUUACACUAACUACUCUAUUUGUUUUACAGUAGUGGUGGCAACUCAUUGUUUU